AAUAUUAGAUAGUGGUAUCCACCACAGCAGGGCAAAUAAACCACUAAUAUUUCAUUAUGUUGUAGUAGAUGUUUUACCAGUGCCCUUUUUAGUGGGCCUUUAAAAGUGUGAAAUGGACUUUGAUGCAGGAUAGUUGCUCGAAGAGUUUAGGACUGUUUAUGUUCUUCUGGUUCCAUUCACUAAUCAGCAAUGUCAAUGUUAUUUUUCUGCAGCUCCAGAGUGAUUAAUCACAGGACAUUUACGACCGCACAUGAUGCAACAACCAGGUCGCAUACUUUUGGAGCAGCAGGGAACAACUUCCAUUGAGAAGAAUGGGAAUGCAAACUGACAUUUUCUCCAGGUAUGAUCCGUCAUCAGUAGGAGUCAGAGAAAUUCAGCCUUUCAUAGGCUCUGACACUUCAACAUGAAGCAUUAAAAAACUGGAAUGUGUGAUGGCUCUCACCUGCAAACAUGCCUCUCCCAUCUUUGAAGGCUCUCAUCAGCAUGAUGGGCACACAGCAGGAGGGGUUGAGCAAAUGCACCAUAUAAGAUGUCUAAGCCGACAACACAAAGAUAUGCUUGAGUGACAAAUGAGAAGGACUGCAUGUGUAUUUCCCACUGUAUUUUUUUUCUUUGUAUUGACACACAUCAGACACAGUUUUGAUAUCAGUACUAAGUGGAGAAUUGUUUCUUGAUUGACACUUAUUAUUUUAAAUUAUUAUUUCAUGUUACUAAAUUUCCUUAAUCAUUAUCAUAAGUGAAUAUCAUGACAUAUGUAAUAAAUAGCGUGGCCGCAU